rnacentral:lncRNA from 1 species
CGUGGACUGUAGCCUGCCAGGCUUCUCUGUCCAUGGGAUUUUCCAGGCAAGAGUACUGGAGUGGGUUGCCAUUUCCUUCUCCAAGGGAUCAAACCCAGGUCUCCCGCAUUGCAAGCAGAUGCUUUACCCUCUGAGCCACCAGGGAAGCUCUUCCUUCUGUUGGAACACACUCUGAGCAUGGGAUGUUUGUUCCAACACAGAACAGAAGGCAUCUCAACAUCAGACAUCAUCACCAGGAUUGUCCGUGACUAUGAUGUUUAUGCCCGACGCAACCUCCAGAGAGGCUACACAGCCAAGGAACUGAAUGUCAGCUUUAUCAAUGAGAAGAAGUACUGCUUCCAAAACCAGGUAGACAAGAUGAAGGAAAAGGUCAAAAACAUGGAAGAAAGAUCAAAGGAAUUUGUUAGCAGAGUGGAAGAAAAGAGUCAUGAUCUAAUUCAGAAGUCAGAAGAGAAAUUGAGGGAAUUCAUUGGUGACUUCCUAGAACUGUUUGGGCCUGAUGGAGCAUGGGGACUGAACCUGGGCCCCCAGCAGUAGAAGCUUGGAAUGCUGACCACUGGACACUGUGGAAUUCCCACAAUGAUUAUUGUUUUAUGAAGCUAAGUUUGUAGUGACAUUGCUGCUGCUGCUACUGCUAAGUUGCUUCAGUCAUGUCCGACUCUGUGCGGCCCCAGAGACGGCAGCCCACCAGGCUCCCCUGUCUCUGGGGUUCUCCAGGCAAGAACACUGGAGUGGGUUGCCAUUUCCUUCUCCAAUG